rnacentral:rRNA from 1 species
UUCGUCCAAGUGAAGCAGAGGACAGUGGCGGACGGGUGAGUAACGCGUGAGGAACCUGCCUUUCAGAGGGGGACAACAGUUGGAAACGACUGCUAAUACCGCAUGAAGCAUAGGGGUCGCAUGAUUCUUAUGCCAAAGAUUUAUCGCUUCAAGAUGGCCUCGCGUCUGAUUAGCUGGUUGGCGGGGUAACGGCCUACCAAGUCGAUGAUCAGUAGCCGGACUGAGAGGUUAACCCCCACACUGGUACUGAGACACGGACCAGACUCC